rnacentral:rRNA from 1 species
CACGUAGGGGACGAGCGUUGUCCGGAUUCAUUGGGCGUAAAGCGCGUGUAGGCGGUCCGGUAAGUCCGCUGUGAAAGUCGAGGGCUCAACCCUCGAAUGCCGGUGGAUACUGUCGGGCUAGAGUGCGGAAGAGGCGAGUGGAAUUCCUGGUGUAGCGGUGAAAUGCGCAGAUAUCAGGAGGAACACCUAUUGCGAAGGCAGCUCGCUGGGACGCAACUGACGCUGAGACGCGAAAGCGUGGGGAGCAAACAGG